GACGACGGGUGGACGGAAGCCGGUGGGAAUCCGGCACGGUCGCGCCACUGUGUACCCGCGAGACGCGGGAAGUCAGACCCGCCCCCGGUCGUC
rnacentral:ncRNA from 2 species